rnacentral:rRNA from 1 species
CACCGGCAGCCCAAGUGGUGGCCAUUUUUAUUGGGCCUAAAGCGUUCGUAGCCGGCCUGAUAAGUCUCUGGUGAAAUCCCGCAGCUUAACUGUGGGAAUUGCUGGAGAUACUAUCAGGCUUGAGGUCGGGAGAGGUUAGAGGUACUCCCAGGGUAGGGGUGAAAUCCUAUAAUACUGGGAGGACCACCUGUGGCGAAGGCGUCUAACUGGAACGAACCUGACGGUGAGUAACGAAAGCCAGGGGCGCGAACCGGAUUAGAUACCCGGGUAGUCCUGGCCGUAAAUGAUGCGAGUUAAGUGUGGGGGCAUCCACGAGAUGGCCCUGUGCUGUAGGGUAGCCGUUAAACUCGCUGCCUGGGGAGUACGGUCGCAAGGCUGAA